ACUGCCCAGAGCUGGCUACUCCCACCCUACACCUUUGCUCAGCUCCGCCCAGCAGGGCCCAGCUGCAGCGUCUCUGUCUGUCAGCCUCAGAGGCAGGUCUGGCUGUGCUGAGAUGGGGCUGGUCCAGCCAGGGCUGUGGCUGAAGAAGCUCUGGGUACUUUUGCAGGUGGUCCUGCAUGUGGCCUUGGGCAAAGUACAACUAAAACUGUUUCCCAAGAGAGUCAAGCAGCGCAUCUUGGCCAUGAACGGGAAGAACCCACACUUCUCCUAUGAAAACUGGGUUCCAACCCUCUUUGGCAUCCAGUAUUUCUGGUUUCUCCUGAAGGUUCGUUGGCAACGAUUGGAGGACAAGACUGAGGAAGGGGGUCUAGCCCCAAACUGCCCUGUGGUUCGCCUCUCAGGACAGACGUGUAACAUUUGGGACUUCAUGCAAGCACCUCAACAUUCAUGAGCACCUCCUAUGUGCCUGGUCUUCAGCUAGAUGUCAGGGUCACAGAGUUAACAUCAGCAGUCAGGCCUGGAUGCUGCCAUCCAUGUGGUUGCCAUGGGAAACCAUCAACACUGUAGGACUCCACCAUUCCUGACAGGAGAACCUCCAGUGGACCAUGUAUGACUUCUGCCGUCUCAGUGACUGCAGAACCAAAGAUCCGUGUGGGAGGGUCCAGUCAGUCCUGCGUGAGUCACUGACUGUGCCCUGGCUGCCGGGGGCAGAGAGCAGACCUGGUCAUUCUGUCUUCCCUAGUGCAAGGCUGGGCACACUCUCCCAUCAACAAGUAGUACACAAAAGAGGGAAUUCCAAGUAGGAAGGAGAGGUAGGAGCUGGGCAGCCAAAAUUGUAACAGAUAUCCACCAUUCUUGGUUUGUAUCUUCUUGACGUCCUAGUCAGAUUCUUCACAGUGUCAGAGAGCCUGCCCACUCUGGCCCAUACCCGCCCCUCCCGCCACGACUCUCACUGCACCCCAGCCUGGCUGGGGCCACAUUGGCCUUGCCGGUCCUCGAACACACCAAGCUCUGUCUGUCCCUCCUCAGAGCCUUUAUACAGGAGUCCCUUUGUCUGGAAUGCCCUACUCCUCCCUCUGUCCCCUCUGGCACAUUGCUAGUCUUCAUUUCCCCAGUUAAAUGGCCUCUCAUCAGAGGCCUUCCUGGGCCCACCUGUCUAAAGUAGGUGGCUCCUUUAUAGUCUCUUUCAUAACACUUGUCACAACUUGAAAUUACCUCAUUUACACAACAUUAAAUAGCAGCUAAAAAGUACCAUGCCAGGGCAAGAGAGAGGCCACAGAAGAUAAGAAAAAUCUUUGUAUUUUAAUAUACUAAAUGGAACUUUCCCCCACUUUUUGAACAAGGGGCUUGCUUAGUUGUUUUGCAACGGACUCAGCAAAUCAUGUCGGUGGCCCUGCUCCCAGUAUUUUGUCCCCUUGUGGAGUCCCUUUUGCCACCUCCCACUUCAUAGCUCGGGGAGCAGGUAAGAGCUACUGACAGCAGCUGACAUCAUUGAGCACCUCCCAUGGACCAGGCCCAUUUUAACCACUUGUCUGUGUUAAUUUCUUUAAUUCUCAUAACAAUCAUGUAAGGUAAGUAUUAUUACUAUGUUCAUUUGUGGAUGAGGACACGGAGUUCUCUGAGUGGAAAGAGCACUGAAUGAAAAUCUGGGAGCCAGAGCGUUCAUUUCAGCUCCACUACCGGUCUGCUGUGUGAUAUGAAACAAGACGGUAAACCUCAGUUUGUCCAUAAAACAGGGGAAAAGUUAUCUACCUUGUGGUAUACUGAUCACAUCACGUGAAAGAAUGGAUAUGUGCUCGCCUUAUAAACUGCAUGAAAGGGACUCUUUUUAUCAUUCUUUUCUUUCCCACCCAGCAACUGCAGGUGGUCCGCUAAGACCACCUGAUAAAGCCCCUCAUUCUAUACAAGGGUAAACUGGCUCCAGCUUCUGCUAAGCCAUGCUGUCUAUGCUUCAGCUCCUCACUGUGCCCUCAAUCCAACAUAGAGCGCGGGGGCGGGGGGAAUAUAACAGGAUUGAAGCAGGAGUGAAGGUGGGGCUUGCAAAACAACUGCUGUGUGUAGAUUAUUGGAUGGUGACGGUUUCAAUUCUG